rnacentral:misc_RNA from 1 species
AACAAUUAAGCACUUUUUUUUUAAUUGUCCUAUGGCUGAGGUUGCUUGGUUCAACUCACCUCUUUAGAGUACGGUCAUCUUGGCUUGAUGGUCACUUUGUUCUGGAUUGUUGGGAAGCACUUACCCGGCUUUUGUGUCCCUUCCCUUCGGAUAUUGAUCUUGUGCCGUUACCGGCCCUUAUUUGUUGGAGUAUUUGGAAGUGCAGAAAUUCCCUGCUUUUAAAAGGUCAUCACCUAGAUAUUCACAUGGUCAUCAACUUUGUUUUGGGCUUUCAAGCUAAAGCAGGUUUGCGCACUCGGAUUGAGCAGCAGCACUUGCAUCCCUAACAAUGGAUGCCUCCGCCAUCUAAUCUGUUGAAAGCUAACUUUGAUGCUG